rnacentral:lncRNA from 1 species
AUUUCAAACCUACCGCUCUUUUCUCUUUUCUAAACAAAUGUUAUUUGGUUCUUACGGAGAAGAAUGCUGCUUGGUGAUGGUAGGGGUUUGGGGGUUUGUGAGUGCAUGAGGCAGAGGCGUUAAGGGCAUGGUAGAACUCAAGGCUUGUUUCUCAGAGUUGCAAGCCUCUGGGUUUGUGAGGGAGGAACCCAGUGCCCAUGCCGCCGCCGACCCCGUGUCUGUCUUUCCGCCCAGAGGAGCUUGCCCGCCUUGAGACAGCUGACCCCCGACUCCGCAGCCUUCAUCCAGCAGAGCCAGCAGCAGCCGCCACCCGCCUCACAGGCUACCACUGCGCUCACGGCCGUGGUGCUGAGCAGCUCGGUCCAGCGCACGGCCGGGAAGACGGCGGCCACCGUGACCAGCGCUCUCCAGCCCCCUGUCAUCAGCCUCACGCAGCCCACACAGGUGAUCCAGCAGCCGCCCAAGCCCGGAGCGCUGAUCCGCCCGCCGCAGGUGACGCUGACGCAGACGCCCAUGGUUGCGCUCCGGCAGCCUCACAGCCGCAUUGUGCUCACCGCACCGCAGCAGAUCCAGCUAAACCAGCUGCAGCCAGUCCCUGUGGUGAAGCCCGCCGUGCUACCUGGAACCAAAGCUCUCUCUGCCGUCUCGGCUCAAGCAGCUGCUGCGCAGAAAAACAAACUCAAGGAGCCUGGGGGAGGCUCGUUUCGGUAAGGAG